CCGCACAAGCGGUGGAGCAUGUGGUUUAAUCGAAGCAACGCGAAGAACCUUACCAGGUCUUGACAUCCCGAUGCUAUUUCUAGAGAUAGAAAGUACUUCGGUACAUCGGUGACAGGUGGUGCAUGGUUGUCGUCAGCUCGUGUCGUGAGAUGUUGGGUUAAGUUCCGCAACGAGCGCAACCCCUAUUGUUAGUUGCCAUCAUUCAGUUGGGCACUCUAGCGAGACUGCCGGUAAUAACCGGAGAAGUGGGGAUGACGUCAAAUCAUCAUGCCCCUUAUGACCUGGGCUACACACGUGCUACAAUGGUUGGUACAACGAGUUGCGAGUCGGUGACGGCGAGCUAAUCUCUUAAAGCCAAUCUCGGUUCGGAUUGUAGGCUGCAACUCGCCUACAUGAAGUCGGAAUCGCUAGUAAUCGCGGAUCAGCACGCCGCGGUGAAUACGUUCCCGGGCCUU
rnacentral:rRNA from 1 species